rnacentral:ncRNA from 1 species
AAAGUUAUUCUUAAUGAUUAAUUUUUUUUAAUUACAAUUUUUUUUAUUAAUAUUUCAGGGAGUUGAGAUUUAGUAAAUUACUAUAGUAUUAUAAAAAGUUGUGCCAGCAUAUGCGGUUAUACCUCUAAUACAAAUUAAUUUUCUUUGUAAUCAUUAUUUUUUUUGUUAAUUUAAUUUUUUCUUUAUUGGGUGAAAUUUUAAUUUGGAUUAAGUUUUAGGUUAGAAAUUAUGUUAAGAUAAAAUUUUAAACUAGGAUUAGAUACCCUAUUAUUUUUAUUAUAUAAAAAUUAUUAUGUUAGUAUUAGUUAAGUUCUUGAAAUCAGAAGGAUUUGGCGGUGAUUUAAUCUUUUUAGAGGAACCUGUUUGUUAAUUGAUAAUCCACGAUUAUUUCUACUUUAAUUUUAUUUGUAUACCUCUGUUAUUGAAUGUCUUAUUAGGGGAUUUUCUUAAAUUAUUAUAUGAAAAAUAUCAAGUCAAGGUGCAGUUAUAUUAAAGUUUUAAUGGGUUACAUUUAAUUUAAAUUAAUAGGAGGUUAAUUUUUUAAUUUAUCUGAAAGGGGAUUUGAAUGUAAAUUUUAUUAUUUAAUAAAAUUGAUUGUUGCUCUAAAUCAUGUACAUAUCGCCCGUCACUCUCAUAUUUAAGAUGAGAUAAGUCGUAACAAAGUAAUUUUAUUGGAAAAUGAAAUUGGAAUAUU